rnacentral:rRNA from 1 species
CCCUUCGAUGUUCUGGGCCGCACGCGUGCUACACUGAGUGGAUCAGCGGGUCAGGUUGCGCGAAAGUGUUUCCUAAUCUUUAAAUCCGCUCGUGAUGGGGAUUGACGGUUGCAAUUUUCCGUCAUGAACGAGGAAUACCUUGUAAGCGCGGGUCAUCAUCCCGCGCUGAAUACGUCCCUGCCCUUUGUACACACCGCCCGUCGCUCCUACCGAUUGAGUGGUCCGGUGAGGCUUUGGGAUCUGAGCGGAAAGAGCGUUUCGCUGUUUCUGCCCGGAAAACUCAGUCGAACCUUAUCAUUUAGAGGAAGGAGAAGUCGUAACA